UACGUAAGGGGCGAGCGUUAUCCGGAUUUAUUGGGCAUAAAGAGCACGUAGGCGGUUAUUUAAGUCAGGUGUUAAAUCCUUCAGCUCAACUGAAUUGCUGCAUCUGAUACUGGAUAACUUGAGUACAGGAGAGGAAAGCGGAACUCAUGGUGUAGCGGUGAAAUGCGUAGAUAUCAUGAGGAACACCAGUUGCGAAGGCGGCUUUCUGGACUGUUACUGACGCUGAGGUGCGAAAGCGUGGGGAGCAAACGGGAUUAGAUACCCCGGUAGUCCACGCUGUAAACGGUGUUCACUAAGUGUUGGGGGUAUCGACCCCCCCGGUGCUACAGAUAAUUCGUUAAGUGAACCGCCUGGGAAGUACGACCGCAAGGUUA
rnacentral:rRNA from 1 species